rnacentral:rRNA from 1 species
UACGUAGGGAGCAAGCGUUGUCCGGAAUCAUUGGGCGUAAAGAGCGCGUAGGCGGUCCGGUAAGUCGGUUGUGAAAACUGGGGGCUCAACCCUCAGACGCCGACCGAUACUGUCGGGCUAGAGUCCGGAAGAGGCGAGUGGAAUUCCUGGUGUAGCGGUGAAAUGCGCAGAUAUCAGGAGGAACACCAAUGGCGAAAGCACUCUGCUGGGCCGACACUGACACUGAGAGACGAAAGCUAGGGGAGCGAAUGGG